UACAGAGGUCCCGAGCGUUGUUCGGAUUCACUGGGCGUAAAGGGUGCGUAGGCGGCGGGGCAAGUCAGGUGUGAAAUCUCGGGGCUCAACCCCGAAACUGCACUUGAUACUGCCUUGCUCGAGUACUGGAGAGGAGACUGGAAUUUACGGUGUAGCAGUGAAAUGCGUAGAUAUCGUAAGGAAGACCAGUGGCGAAGGCGAGUCUCUGGACAGUUACUGACGCUGAGGCACGAAGGCCAGGGGAGCAAACGGG
rnacentral:rRNA from 1 species